UACAGAGGUCGCAAGCGUUGUUCGGAUUCACUGGGCGUAAAGGGUGCGUAGGCGGUCGGGCAAGUCUGAUGUGAAAUCUCCGGGCUUAACCCGGAAACUGCAUUGAAUACUGUUCGGCUUGAGGGCUGGAGGGGGGACUGGAAUUCUCGGUGUAGCAGUGAAAUGCGCAGAUAUCAGGAGGAACACCGGUGGCGAAGGCGGGUCUCUGGGCCGAUACUGACGCUGAGGAGCGAAAGCGUGGGGAGCAAACAGG
rnacentral:rRNA from 1 species